AUUCCAUGAUUUGGACAUUUUUGAAGCAUGUCUUUAAACCUCUCCCUAGCCUCAUGAAAGCAUUAAAAUUUGAAUUGUUAAAAUAUAGUUAUGUCAUAUUUGAGUUU
rnacentral:snoRNA from 1 species